rnacentral:lncRNA from 1 species
CAGAAUUGGAGUCGGGUAGAAAAAAUACAACCAUCCCCUCUCUCUGCUGAGUCACUGUCAGAAUAGACCUUCUUGGGUUUGAAGGGUUGAGGAUAAUGAGUAAUCUGGACGGAGCAGCUUUCUUCCAAGGACCUCAGAACUCUCUGCAGAUGUGCUUCUCUCUGCAAAAUGGCUCUCACUCCAUUUCUGUGAGAACUCUUCCCGCAAACUGGGUCCCUAAGAGGAUUAGUGAAGGGGAUACCAAUUUAUUUAUACUCACCUCAGCAUGGUAGCAGCCAAACACUGUAAGUUGCUGGAUUAUUAAAUGGCCUGUAACACAUGAAAGAAGCUUCAAUCUUCUGGUGCGGUUCAGAGUGGACAGGUGUUUGCUGCACAGCUGCUCUGAACUGAUCCCCAAUUUUGGCAAGGUUUUUUUUCCUUUUUGACCUGCUCACACUGGUAAGAUGAACAGGUGUGCUCGGAAACAAAUGGACUGUGGAGAUUUGGUCUCUUUUUAAGGGCAAGACCAAUUUUCAGGCCUCUUUCAGUUGUACUUCGCUGGGGGGAAGGAAUAAAAGAACUAAAGAGAGGUAUGGAGAGUUAGGGAAACCCCUCAAACUUUGUUUAAAUUACACAUUCCUGGCACUCCCAGUGCUGGGUGAUGCUGCCAUUUGUGUUUUCUUCUAUAGUGCCUGGCUUGCACGGUCCCAAGCAGAGUUAAAUGCAUGUCUAUGACCACAAGAGGAUGACGCCUCGGUUUCUCUGUGCCAGCCUGGAGGCCCUUAGGUGCUGCAGUUUAAGUCCUUGAAAAACAAGGUUGCUGGACUCUAGUAAAUAGUGUCCGGAUGUU